UACGAAGGGGGCUAGCGUUGCUCGGAAUCACUGGGCGUAAAGCGCACGUAGGCGGCUUUCUAAGUCAGGGGUGAAAUCCUGGAGCUCAACUCCAGAACUGCCUUUGAUACUGGAAAGCUUGAGUUCGGGAGAGGUGAGUGGAACUGCGAGUGUAGAGGUGAAAUUCGUAGAUAUUCGGAAGAACACCAGUGGCGAAGGCGACUCACUGGACAUGUAUUGACGCUGAGGUGCGAAAGCGUGGGGAGCAAACAGG
rnacentral:rRNA from 1 species